rnacentral:rRNA from 1 species
GACGUAGGGCGCGAGCGUUGUCCGGAUUUAUUGGGCGUAAAGAGCUCGUAGGCGGCUUGUCGCGUCGACUGUGAAAACCCGCGGCUCAACCGUGUGGUCUGCAGUCGAUACGGGCAGGCUAGAGUUCGGUAGGGGAGUCUGGAAUUCCUGGUGUAGCGGUGAAAUGCGCAGAUAUCAGGAGGAACACCGGUGGCGAAGGCGGGACUCUGGGCCGAUACUGACGCUGAGGAGCGAAAGCGUGGGGAGCGAACAGGA